rnacentral:rRNA from 1 species
CUACGGGCUGCACCAGUGAGGAAUAUUGCACAAUGGGGGGAACCCUGAUGCAGCAACGCCGCGUGGAGGAUGACGCAUUUCGGUGUGUAAACUCCUUUUAUAUGUCAAGAAAAUGACGGUAGCAUAUGAAUAAGCACCGGCUAACUCCGUGCCAGCAGCCGCGGUAAUACGGAGGGUGCAAGCGUUACUCGGAAUCACUGGGCGUAAAGGACGCGUAGGCGGGUUGGAAAGUCAGGUGUGAAAUCCUACAGCUUAACUGUAGAACUGCACUUGAAACUUCUAAUCUAGAGGAUGGGAGGGGGAGAUGGAAUUAGUGGUGUAGGGGUAAAAUCCGUAGAUAUCACUAGGAAUACCUAAAGCGAAGGCGAUCUCCUGGAACAUUACUGACGCUAAGGCGUGAAAGCGUGGGGAGCAAACAGUAUUAGAUACCCUAGUAGUC